UACGGGGGGGGGCAAGCGUUGUUCGGAAUUACUGGGCGUAAAGGGCGCGUAGGCGGCUCGCUAAGUCGGAUGUGAAAACUCUGGGCUCAACCCAGAGCCUGCAUUCGAAACUGACGAGCUCGAGUUCUGGAGGGGAAAGCGGAAGUUCCUGGAUGUAGCGGUGAAAUGACGUAGAUAUCAGGAGGAACACCGGUGGCGAAGGCGGCUUUCUGGACAGAAACUGACGCUGAUGCGCGAAAGCUAGGGGAGCAAACAGG
rnacentral:rRNA from 1 species